rnacentral:rRNA from 1 species
GACAACGUUCAGAUCACGUUUAAACCACCAGUUUUCGUCCGAUCACUGAAGUUAAGUAACGUUGAGUACGGUUAGUACUUGGAUGAGGGUGACCAAUUGGGAACACCGUGUGAUGUUGUGA